CUCUGUUUGAGUCUUCGUUUUUGUAACUCAUCUGUGGAUAUAAGCAGCUUACACAGAGGCAGAGACAGCACCUCCCGGAGGAGAGAUCUUGUGACGGAUCUGUUGAAAGGCAAAUCUUCGAAGCCCACUAGACAUGCAACAUCUUACAUUGCACCAAAGGAG